CACGUAGGGGGCAAGCGUUGUCCGGAUUUAUUGGGCGUAAAGAGCUCGUAGGCUGUUCGAUAAGUCGGGUGUGAAACCUCCAGGCUCAACCUGGAGACGCCACCCGAUACUGUCAUGACUAGAGUCCGGUAGGGGAGCGUGGAAUUCCUGGUGUAACGGUGAAAUGCGCAGAUAUCAGGAGGAACACCAGCGGCGAAGGCGGCGCUCUGGGCCGGUACUGACGCUGAGGAGCGAAAGCGUGGGUAGCAAACAGG
rnacentral:rRNA from 1 species